rnacentral:tRNA from 1 species
CGGAUGUAGCUCAAUGGCAGAGCUCCGGCUUCCCAAGCCGAUUACGAGGGUUCGAUUCCCUUCAUCCG